AAAUGAUUAGUUAAAAAAUAAUAUAAACUUGUCAAGUUUAAGUAAUCCUCAUGGGAUAUCAUUUA
rnacentral:tRNA from 1 species